AACGUAGGUGGCAAGCGUUAUCCGGAUUUACUGGGCGUAAAGCGUGUGCAGGCGGGUGGACAAGUGGGGUAUGAAAUCGCCAGGCUAAACCUGGCGGGGUUAUGCCAGACUGUCCGUCUGGAGUGCGAGAGAGGGGCGUGGAAUUCCGGGUGUAGUGGUGAAAUGCGUAGAGAUCCGGAGGAACACCGGUGGUGUAGACGGCUUUCUGGACCGUAACUGACGCUGAGACACGAAAGCGUGGGUAGCAAACAGG
rnacentral:rRNA from 1 species